AAGCCAAGAAAAGUUGGGUAACCAAAAGGUUAUUUUGUUGCAUAAUUCUCGAAAACCCCAGGAGGUGUCAUCUUGAAUUACCUUACGUAAUCACCUUAGACUAAUCACCUUAUUACCAUAGUCUUUCCCCAAAUGUUUUCGUGCUCAGUCUCAAUUCCUCCUGCCUCAUUUACACACAUACAGCAACUAAUAUUGAUUAAAGUGCAUCCUUCCCCUUGGGAGGCAAAUAAAAGGUCUAGUGCCAAAACCUUGAUUUGUUCUAGUUGCUUGCACCAAACUGUAAGAUGUUGUUGCAAAUAUUGGUUUCCUAAAUGUGUUAGAUCUUCUCCUUUGUCCAGCAUUUGGUAAGGCCUGCCAUACAAUAUCUCCAAAGGGGCUUAGUUUGACCAAGUUUGCUCCUGGGGGAUGGAUGGAGCCCGUGGUAGGGAGCCGUGUGGGAGCAGUGCUUGAGGAGCUGCUGCCUUUGGCAGCCCCUGCAGGCUCACUUUGGGAAUCCCGUGUGAGGGAUGAAGUUCUUUGUUUUUUUUUUUGUUUUGUUUUGUUUUGUUUUUUUUCUGAAGAAAGCGGGUGUUUAAGAAGGAAAUGCAGAGUUGCCUUUGUUUGGCACUCGAUGGUCUUGAGGUCUCUUCCAACAUAGACAUUCUGUGAUUCUGUGAAGUCACAAACGCCAAGGCAUCACACUGGCUGGCUCUGCAGCACAGAUGCCAGGAGUGCCGCUUGGCAUGGCGGCGGCGGCGCGGUGCCCCAGCCCCAGGCCCGUCCCAGCCCCAGCGCACGUCGCCCUCUGCUCCUCCAUGGAGCCCCCCGCCGCCUCAGCAGCCCCGCGGCGGACGCCCCAUGGCGGAGCCGCCCCCGAGGAGAAGGAGCCCGCAGCCCUCUGCCCGCACCGCACUGCACCGCACCGCACCAAGCGCCGUGCAACGGCUGCCACCGCCGCGGGGGCUCCUGGUGUGAGCGGCAAGCGGUGGCAAGGGGGGGGCUGCGCUUCCUGAGUCGAGCUGCUGGACACCGGCUUGCCUGGGCAAUUGCCCAUGUUGCUGAGGAGGCAACAGAGCCAAAGCCCUUGGGGCUGAAGAUCCAGCACGGCUGGGGAGGCUUUGGACUCAGGUGCGGAAUGAAGCCAAGCAAGCUAGAGGGAAACUGUGUGCUGAAUCCCAGACUGCGUAUUAGAGCUGAUCUUCAUCUCUGCUCGGAAAAGCUUCACGGGCCAAAAGAGAAUGGAGAUGAGGAAGGCAAUGGAGAAUGAUGAGGACUAUUUGCAGUCAGCACCCGUAAGCUUUGUAAAGAAUCAGGUGCAUUUCUGUAGUGGUAGAAAGCGUAGCUGGAAAGACUUCCUAAGGACGUCAAGUCCAAUUCAUUGUUCUCAGUUAGAGCAAUCCCGUAGUUUAGACUCCUGAUAAGGUAUUUGUCUGUAGGCAGCUGCCAACUUGUCCAGCUAAUCCAAUUCAGCCUGGAAAACAAGCAAGCAAGCAAGCAAAAAGCACAGAAACCUGCAGUUUAUGGAGUGCAACUGUCUCCUUUCCAAUCUCAUGGGUUUCACCCAUUUGCUUCAGAGGACAGUACUUUGAUGCUUUCCAGGGCUAAUGGCCAAAGUUCUCAAAGCACUUUUUUUUUUUUUUCCCAUCAGUGAUAUAUACAUUUGUCAAUCUUUCCAUCUUCAUUUAGAACUCUGAAUUUAGGUUUUAGGUGAACAAGAAC
rnacentral:lncRNA from 1 species